UCCGGUUUAUCACCGGCAGUCUCUCUAGAGUCCCCGCCUUUACGCGCUGGUAACUAAAGAUAAGGGUUGCGCUCGUUACGGGACUUAACCCAACAUCUCACAACACGAGCUGACGACAGCCAUGCAGCACCUGUCUCUUCGUUCCCGAAGGCACUCUCAUAUCUCUAUAAGAUCCGAAGGAUGUCAAGGGUAGGUAAGGUUCUUCGCGUUGCAUCGAAUUAAACCACAUGCUCCACCGCUUGUGCGGGCCCCCGUCAAUUCCUUUGAGUUUUAACCUUGCGGUCGUACUCCCCAGGCGGAGAACUUAGCGCGUUAGCUUCGCCACAAGAGGAUUUUACUCCUCCAACAGCUAGUUCUCAUCGUUUACAGCGUGGACUAC
rnacentral:misc_RNA from 1 species